rnacentral:rRNA from 1 species
UACGUAGGUGGCAAGCGUUGUCCGGAUUUACUGGGCGUAAAGAGCGCGCAGGCGGUCGUUCAAGUCGAGUGUGAAAGCCCCCGGCUCAACUGGGGAGGGUCAUUCGAUACUGAUCGACUCGAAGGCAGGAGAGGGAAGUGGAAUUCCCGGUGUAGUGGUGAAAUGCGUAGAUAUCGGGAGGAACACCAGUGGCGAAGGCGACUUCCUGGCCUGUACUGACGCUGAGGAGCGAAAGCGUGGGGAGCGAACAGG